GGAUAGCUCAGUUGGCAGAGCAUGAGACUCAUGAUGUCAGGGUCAUGGGUUUGAGCCCCAUGUUGGGCA